rnacentral:rRNA from 1 species
UACGGAGGGGGCUAGCGUUGUUCGGAAUUACUGGGCGUAAAGCGCGCGUAGGCGGACCUGCAAGUCGGGGGUGAAAGCCCGAGGCUCAACCUCGGAACUGCCUUUGAUACUGGCGACCUUGAGUCCGGGAGAGGUGAGUGGAACUGCGAGUGUAGAGGUGAAAUUCGUAGAUAUUCGCAAGAACACCAGUGGCGAAGGCGGCUCACUGGCCCGGUACUGACGCUGAGGUGCGAAAGCGUGGGGAGCAAACAGG